UACGGGGGGGGCAAGCGUUGUUCGGAAUUACUGGGCGUAAAGGGCGCGUAGGCGGUUCGCUAAGUCGGAUGUGAAAACUCUGGGCUCAACCCAGAGCCUGCAUCCGAAACUGGCGGGCUAGAGUUCUGGAGGGGGUAGCGGAAUUCCUGGUGUAGCGGUGAAAUGCGUAGAUAUCAGGAGGAACACCGGUGACGAAGGCGGCUACCUGGACAGAAACUGACGCUGAGGCGCGAAAGCGUGGGGAGCAAACAGG
rnacentral:rRNA from 1 species